rnacentral:rRNA from 1 species
AGUCUGGUGCCAGCAGCUGCGGUAAUACCAGCUCCAAUAGCGUAUAUUAAAGUUGUUGCAGUUAAAAAGCUCGUAGUUGGACUUGUGUGCGCUGUCCGCGGGUGGCCUGCGCCCAAAAGGGCGUUUCGGUUCGGCCCCGGUGGCCCUUGAAAUCUGCAGCUGGGGGGACGUUGGCCUUAACUGGUCGGCGACCGCACGCCGGCUGCUCGGUUACUGUGAGAAAAUUAGAGUGUUCAAGGCAGGCAUUGGGUGCAAUUGAAUACAUUAGCAUGGAAUAAUAAAAUAUGGCUCCUGCCGUAUUUUGUUGGUUUUGACUGGUGGGAGUAAUGAUUGAUAGGGACGGUUGGGGGUGCUAGUAUUGAGCGGCCAGAGGUGAAAUUCAUGGAUUCGCUCAAGACUAACUUAUGCGAAAGCAUUCACCAAGGACGUCCUCUUUAAUCAAGAACGAAAGUUGGGGGAUCGAAGACGAUCAGAUACCGUCGUAGUCUCAACCAUAAACUAUGUCGACUUGGGAUCGGCGGUAGUUUUUUCAUUAAGACACUGUCGGGACCACGGGAGAAAUCAAAGUGUCUGACUCUGGGGGAAGUAUGGUCGCAAGGCUGAAACUUGAAGGAAUUGACGGAAGGGCACCACCAGGAGUGGAGCCUGCGGCUUAAUUUGACCCAACACGGGGAAACUUACCAGGUCCAGAGAUAUAGAGGAUUGACAGAUUGAAGCUCUUUCUUGAUCACUUCGGUGGUGGUGCAUGGCCGUUCUUAGUUGGUGGAGUGAUUUGUCUGGUUAAUUCCGUUAACGAACGAGACCUCAGCCUGCUAGUGUAGUCGGCUGGAUUGCCUUUGGCGAUCCGUGAUUUCGACUUCUUAGAGGGACAAUCGACGCGCAGUCGAUGGAAGUUUGAGGCAAUAACAGGUCUGUGAUGCCCUUAGAUGUUCUGGGCCGCACGCGCGCUACACUGCUGGGCUCAGCGAGUUUUACUUGGCCGAGAGGCCCGGUUAAUCUUGUGAAAUCCCAGCGUGCUUGGGCUCGCCUCCUGCAACUGGAGGCGCGAACGAGGAAUUCCUAGUAGACGCAGGUCAUCAACCUGCAUCGAUUACGUCCCUGCCCUUUGUACACACCGCCCGUCGUUCCAUAAGAGUGAGGCAUCCGGUGAAUUCUCGGGAGAGCCUGGGCGUGGCCAGCAAUGGUCUGCUCGGGUUUGAACUUGCAUAAACUUGGUGCCUAUGAUUAGGG